rnacentral:lncRNA from 1 species
CUUAGUUGUAUUAGUAGAGCCCUACAAAAUUAGAGCCCAUUAGGUUAGAUAAAUUCUUCACGUAAGGAACAAGGAAUUAUGACAACAAGGAAAGUCUUAGCCAAAUAAAUUCCUUGUUAAUCAAACACUAAGGUAAUUAAAUAAAUUAAUGACAAAAUAAGAGUUUAAAGAACUAAGGAAACUUCCCUAGUUUUUAUACACGUUUUUCGUACACGUCUUGAAAAACCGAAAUAGAAUCCUCUCGGAUUCUAACAAUCUCCCCCUUUGUCAUCUAUUUAUUAUAAUCAAGUCCUCCCCCUUGAUCAAAUACCUGACAAAACAUUAGACUGCAUAAUAGAGUAACUGUUAGAACAGUUAAAGGAAAAAGCAGUUAACGAAACAAGAAAAAAGUUAAGCCUAGCAGACUAUUAGAGGCCGUUGUUCAGAAAAUCAAUUCGACAACCACAAAAAAAACUACUCCAGAAUAUAUUCAGCAUCAACGAACAACUCCUCGUCAUCAUUCGUAUCAACUCCUCGUCAUCAUUCGUAUCAACUUCAGCUGUUGUACCAUCAACUGUUGGAACAGUUGGAGCAACAACAGUUCAGUAGUAGUUCCAGCAGCUGCAUCAGCUCCCCCUGUAUGUGGUUCCUCCUGGGUUGAUGCUUCGUUGUCAACUCCCCCUCAAGAAUAAUCUCCCCCUUUCUGA